GAUGAACACUGGCGGCGUGCCUAAUACAUGCAAGUCGAGCGAAUGGAUUAAGAGCUUGCUCUUAUGAAGUUAGCGGCGGACGGGUGAGUAACACGUGGGUAACCUGCCCAUAAGACUGGGAUAACUCCGGGAAACCGGGGCUAAUACCGGAUAACAUUUUGAACCGCAUGGUUCGAAAUUGAAAGGCGGCUUCGGCUGUCACUUAUGGAUGGACCCGCGUCGCAUUAGCUAGUUGGUGAGGUAACGGCUCACCAAGGCAACGAUGCGCAGCCGACCUGAGAGGGUGAUCGGCCACACUGGGACUGAGACACGGCCCAGACUCCUACGGGAGGCAGCAGUAGGGAAUCUUCCGAAAUGGACGAAAGUCUGACGGAGCAACGCCGCGUGAGUGAUGAAGGCUUUCGGGUCGUAAAACUCUGUUGUUAGGGAAGAACAAGUGCUAGUUGAAUAAGCUGGCACCUUGACGGUACCUAACCAGAAAGCCACGGCUAACUACGUGCCAGCCGCCGCCGUAA
rnacentral:rRNA from 1 species